AACACAUGCAAGUCGAACGAUGAAGCCCUUCGGGGUGGAUUAGUGGCGAACGGGUGAGUAACACGUGGGCAAUCUGCCCUUCACUCUGGGACAAGCCCUGGAAACGGGGUCUAAUACCGGAUAACACUCUGUCCCGCAUGGGACGGGGUUAAAAGCUCCGGCGGUGAAGGAUGAGCCCGCGGCCUAUCAGCUUGUUGGUGGGGUAAUGGCCUACCAAGGCGACGACGGGUAGCCGGCCUGAGAGGGCGACCGGCCACACUGGGACUGAGACACGGCCCAGACUCCUACGGGAGGCAGCAGUGGGGAAUAUUGCACAAUGGGCGAAAGCCUGAUGCAGCGACGCCGCGUGAGGGAUGACGGCCUUCGGGUUGUAAACCUCUUUCAGCAGGGAAGAAGCGAAAGUGACGGUACCUGCAGAAGAAGCGCCGGCUAACUACGUGCCAGCAGCCGCGGUAAUACGUAGGGCGCAAGCGUUGUCCGGAAUUAUUGGGCGUAAAGAGCUCGUAGGCGGCUUGUCACGUCGGAUGUGAAAGCCCGGGGCUUANCCCCGGGUCUGCAUUCGAUACGGGCUAGCUAGAGUGUGGUAGGGGAGAUCGGAAUUCCUGGUGUAGCGGUGAAAUGCGCANAUAUCAGGAGGAACACCGGUGGCGANGCGGAUCUCUGGGCCAUUACUGACGCUGAGGANCNAAGCGUGGGGAGCGAACAGGAUNAAUACCCUGGUAGUCCCCCCGUAAACGUNGGNACUAGGUGUUGGCGACNUNCNCGUCGUCGGUGCGCAGCUAAC
rnacentral:rRNA from 1 species